rnacentral:sRNA from 1 species
UGAUACGAAAUGUCAUAACAAGGAGGCC